CCACAAGUGACUUGCUAAAAUGGACCAGAAUGGCUUCUGGCACUUGCUUUAUUUCAUGGCAUUUUUUUCAGGUGUGAAGCUUGAAAUCCGCCUGGUCCAGUCUGGCGAUGAAGUGAAACAACCAGGAGAUUCCGUAAAGAUUUCUUGCAAAGUAUCUGGUUACACAUACACCAGCAAUGGGAUGAUCUGGGCAAGGAGGAGGUCGGGAAAAGGGUUGGAAUGGGUGUCUUCCAUUACCAAUGGCAAUGGAGACACUCAGUAUUAUGAUAACAUUUUCAAAGAACGGUUCAUCAUCUCUAGAGACAACCCCAACAACUUACUGUUCCUUGAAAUAAGAAGCCUGAAGCGUGAAGAUACUUCCGUGUAUUACUGUGCAAGAUGGGCAGGUUCCACAGUGAGGAAGGAAGACAGCUGGGCCCUAUAA